CGUCUAUAUACGUAUAGCAUAUCAAUAAGCGGAGGAAAAGAAACUAGCAAGGAUUCCCUUAGUAACGGCGAGUGAAGCGGGAAGAGCUCAAAUUUGAAAUCUUCAAGGUUCUACCUUGACGAAUUGUAGUUUAAGGAAGUGUUUUCUGUUAGAGGAGUAGCAAAAGUUCCUUGGAAUAGGACAUCAUAGAGGGUGAGAAUCCCGUAUUUGGUUAUUCUUUCUAGCUUUGUGAUACACUUUCAAAGAGUCGGAUUGUUUGGGAAUGCAGUCCAAAAUGGGUGGUAAAUUUCAUCUAAAGCUAAAUAUUGGCGAGAGACUCUGAUAGCGAACAAGUACCGUGAGGGAAAGAUGAAAAGAACUUUGAAAAGAGAGUUAAACAGUACGUGAAUUUGUCAAAAGGGAGGCGUUUGACACCAGUGUUGUUUUUCCGAAAAUCAAUUAAGAGUGGCUUGAUUUUGUGUUGUAUUGACCUUAUCAGCUUUCUUCACUCUUUUUCGAGUCUUUCUUAAUGCACUUUUCGGUUAACAAGUCAACAUCAAUUUCUUUUGUUGUAAAAGGGUAUUUGGAAGGUGGCUUUCUUUUUCGGAGAAAGUGUUUAUAGCCUUAUACCUCUACAAUCGGAGAGAUUGUAGGUCUGCAGCGUAGAUCCUUCGGGGCUAGAUACACUUGUGCUAAGUUAUAGCUUUUCAUAGACAACUUGUUGACUAUGUUUAGUCAUGUAGCUUACCCGCUUGUGCUAUUUUACCUACGCUUAGGAUGUUGAGUCAUCACACAUCUCU
rnacentral:rRNA from 1 species